rnacentral:rRNA from 1 species
GACGAACGCUGGCGGCGUGCUUAACACAUGCAAGUCGAACGAUGAAGCUGGAGCUUGCUCCGGUGGAUUAGUGGCGAACGGGUGAGUAACACGUGAGCAAUCUGCCCUUGACUCUGGGAUAACUGCGGGAAACUGUAGCUAAUACCGGAUACUUUCACUGGAAGGCAUCUUCUGGUGAAGAAAGAAUUUCGGUCAAGGAUGAGCUCGCGGCCUAUCAGCUUGUUGGUGAGGUAACGGCUCACCAAGGCGACGACGGGUAGCCGGCCUGAGAGGGUGGCCGGCCACACUGGGAGUGAGACACGGCCCAGACUACUACGGGAGGCAGCAGUGGGGAAUAUUGCACAAUGGGCGCAAGCCUGAUGCAGCAACGCCGCGUGAGGGAUGAAGGCCUUCGGGUUGUAAACCUCUUUUAGCAGGGAAGAAGCGAAAGUGACGGUACCUGCAGAAAAAGCGCCGGCUAACUACGUGCCAGCCGCCGCCGUAA